rnacentral:rRNA from 1 species
UAGGGAAUCUUCCACAAUGGACGCAAGUCUGAGGGAGCAACGCCGCGUGAGUGAAGAAGGUUUUCGGACCGUAAAGCUCUGUUGUUGGUGAAGAAGGAUAGAGGUAGUAACUGGCCUUUAUUUGACGGUAAUCAACCAGAAAGUCACGGCUAACUACGUGCCAGCAGCCGCGGUAAUACGUAGGUGGCAAGCGUUGUCCGGAUUUAUUGGGCGUAAAGCGAGCGCAGGCGGAAGAAUAAGUCUGAUGUGAAAGCCCUCGGCUUAACCGAGGGAUUGCAUCGGAAACUGUUUUCUUGAGUGCAGAAGAGGAGAGUAGAACUCCAUGUGUAGCGGUGGAAUGCGUAGAUAUAUGGAAGAAUACCAGUGGCGAAGGCGGCUCUCUGGUCUGCAACUGACGCUGAGGCUCGAAAGCAUGGGUAGCGAACAGGAUUAGAUACCCUUGGUAGUCCAUGCCGUAAACGAUGAGUGCUAAGUGU